rnacentral:rRNA from 1 species
UAGGGAAUCUUCGGCAAUGGACGAAAGUCUGACCGAGCAACGCCGCGUGAGUGAAGAAGGUUUUCGGAUCGUAAAACUCUGUUGUUAGAGAAGAACAAGGACGUUAGUAACUGAACGUCCCCUGACGGUAUCUAACCAGAAAGCCACGGCUAACUACGUGCCAGCAGCCGCGGUAAUACGUAGGUGGCAAGCGUUGUCCGGAUUUAUUGGGCGUAAAGCGAGCGCAGGCGGUUUCUUAAGUCUGAUGUGAAAGCCCCCGGCUCAACCGGGGAGGGUCAUUGGAAACUGGGAGACUUGAGUGCAGAAGAGGAGAGUGGAUUUCCAUGUGUAGCGGUGAAAUGCGUAGAUAUAUGGAGGAACACCAGUGGCGAAGGCGGCUCUCUGGUCUGUAACUGACGCUGAGGCUCGAAAGCGUGGGGAGCAAACAGG